GAGAGGUUAAAAAAUGGUGGAAAAGGGAUUUUUGAGAAGGUGGGUGUAGGGAAAAGUGAAGAGGGUGCCUUGGAGAGAGUUUGAGAGUACCUAAGACGAGUGAAAGUCUGUAUGAGACACUUGAGAGAAUCAUAAAGGGUAUUAAAAUAUGCAAUGGGCCAACUCACGCUAAGCCCAACUGAAAAACCCAACUUUGCAAUCUGUGACGCUAGUGCUUAAUGCGAGGUAGCGCUCAAUGCUAGGUUCGAUUUUGGAAUUCCCCCUUUUUGGCUUUCCUUAAGCAUCAUAGUCCUGA
rnacentral:lncRNA from 1 species